rnacentral:rRNA from 1 species
UACAGAGGGUGCAAGCGUUAAUCGGAUUUACUGGGCGUAAAGCGCGCGUAGGCGGCUAAUUAGGUCAAAUGUGAAAUCCCCGAGCUUAACUUGGGAAUUGCAUUCGAUACUGGUUAGCUAGAGUGUGGGAGAGGAUGGUAGAAUUCCAGGUGUAGCGGUGAAAUGCGUAGAGAUCUGGAGGAAUACCGAUGGCGAAGGCAGCCAUCUGGCCUAACACUGACGCUGAGGUGCGAAAGCAUGGGGAGCAAACAGG